rnacentral:rRNA from 1 species
AUUGAACGCUGGCGGCAGGCUUAACACAUGCAAGUCGAGCGGUAGCACAGGGGAGCUUGCUCCCUGGGUGACGAGCGGCGGACGGGUGAGUAAUGUCUGGGAAACUGCCUGAUGGAGGGGGAUAACUACUGGAAACGGUAGCUAAUACCGCAUAACGUCGCAAGACCAAAGAGGGGGACCUUCGGGCCUCUUGCCAUCAGAUGUGCCCAGAUGGGAUUAGCUAGUAGGUGGGGUAAUGGCUCACCUAGGCGACGAUCCCUAGCCGGUCUGAGAGGAUGACCAGCCACACUGGAACUGAGACACGGUCCAGACUCCUACGGGAGGCAGCAGUGGGGAAUAUUGCACAAUGGGCGCAAGCCUGAUGCAGCCAUGCCGCGUGUGUGAAGAAGGCCUUCGGGUUGUAAAGCACUUUCAGCGAGGAGGAAGGUGGUGAGCUUAAUACGUUCAUCAAUUGACGUUACUCGCAGAAGAAGCACCGGCUAACUCCGUG